CCAGUCUUCACAAAGUGUCUUUUAUCUGAAAAGACAGUGUGCUUACAUUAAAAAGCCUACAGGCACAGGCUAUAGACACCAGAACCACUACAUUAAGUUGUAGUGCUUCUAGUGACUAUAGUAUCCAUUUAAUGUGAGGUAAAUUAGAGAUUAGUGCCACUAAUAAUAUAUUGGAUUGCCUACUUACCACCAGAUGAGGACAAGAGGCUGAUGAU
rnacentral:lncRNA from 1 species